rnacentral:rRNA from 1 species
AUUGAACGCUGGCGGCAUGCCUUACACAUGNAGACGAACGGUAGAGUAGCAAUACUCGAGAGUGGCGAACGGGUGAGUAAUAUAUCGGAACGUGCCCAGUCGUGGGGGAUAACGUAGAGAAAUUUACGCUAAUACCGCAUACGAUCUAAGGAUGAAAGCGGGGGAUUCGCAAGAACCUCGCGCGAUUGGAGCGGCUGAUAUCAGAUUAGGUUGUUGGUGAGGUAAAAGCUCACCAAGCCGACGAUCUGUAGCUGGUUUGAGAGAACGACCAGCCACACUGGGACUGAGACACGGCCCAGACUCCUACGGGAGGCAGCAGUGGGGAAUUUUGGACAAUGGGCGAAAGCCUGAUCCAGCAAUGCCGCGUGCAGGAAGAAGGCCUUCGGGUUGUAAACUGCUUUUGUACGGAACGAAAAGGCUCUUUCUAAUAAAGAGGGCCCAUGACGGUACCGUAAGAAUAAGCACCGGCUAACUACGUGCCAGCAGCCGCGGUAAUACGUAGGGUGCGAGCGUUAAUCGGAAUUACUGGGCGUAAAGCGUGCGCAGGCGGUUCUAUAAGACAGAUGUGAAAUCCCCGGGCUCAACCUGGGAAUGGCAUUUGUGACUGUAGAGCUAGAGUACGGUAGAGGGGGAUGGAAUUCCGCGUGUAGCAGUGAAAUGCGUAGAUAUGCGGAGGAACACCGAUGGCGAAGGCAAUCCCCUGGACCUGUACUGACGCUCAUGCACGAAAGCGUGGGGAGCAAACAGGAUUAGAUACCCUGGUAGUCCACGCCCUAAACGAUGUCAACUGGUUGUUGGGUGCAUUAGUACUCAGUAACGAAGCUAACGCGUGAAGUUGACCGCCUGGGGAGUACGGCCGCAAGGUUGAACUCAAAGGAAUUGACGGGGACCCGCACAAGCGGUGGAUGAUGUGGUUUAAAUUCGAUGCAACCGCGAAAA